UCAAGCUAAUAAGGGCGCAAGGGGAAUGCCUUGGCAUUGGAAGCCGAUGAAGGACGUAGCGAUCUACGAAAAGCCCCGGGGAGGCGAAAGCAGCCAUCGAUCCGAGGAUAUCCGAAUGGGGAAACCCGGCGGAGCAAUACUCCGUCAUCCUUUUGUGAAUCCAUAGCAACUGGAAGGGAACCGCCUGAACUGAAACAUCUAAGUAGGGCGAGGAAGAGAAAUCAACCGAGAUUCCGCUAGUAGUGGCGAGCGAACGCGGAAGAGGCCAAACCAAGAGUAGUAAUACUUUUGGGGUUUUGGACAGCGUACAGUAUUAACUGCGGUUAGUAGAAUGAAAUGGGAAGUUCAACCACAGAGCGUGAUAGUCGCGUACACGAAAACUAAAGUUAGCCAGCUGGAUCCAGAGUACCGCCGGACACGUGAAACCCGGUGGGAAGACGGGGGGACCACCCUCCAAGCCUAAAUACUCUCCAAUGACCGAUAGUGUAUAGUACUGUGAAGGAAAGGUGAAAAGAACCCCUGGCGGGGAGUGAAAUAGAACCUGAAACCUUGUGCCUACAAGCACAUAGAGCGCGUCAAUGCGUGAUAUGGUACCUUUUGUAGAAUGGUCCGGCGAGUGAAUGUCACUGGCAAGGUUAAGCUCUUAAGGAGUGCAGCCGAAGCGAAAGCGAGUCUGAAAUGGGCGUUUUAGUCAGUGGUAUUCGACCCGAAACCGGGUGACCUAGCCAUGAGCAGGCUGAAGUGGAGGUAAAACUCCAUGGAGGGCCGAACCCACUCCCGUUGAAAUGGUAGGGGAUGACUUGUGGCUAGCGGAGAAAUUCCAAUCGAACCCGGAGAUAGCUGGUUCUCUCCGAAAUAGCUUUAGGGCUAGCCUCAAUUAACAUUACCGCAGGUAAAGCACUGAAUGAGCUAGGGGGCGAAAGCUUACUGAACUCUAUCAAACUCAGAAUGGCGGAUAAUGAAUGAUUGGGAGUCACACUACGUGAGAUAAGUUUCGUGGUGGAAAGGGAAACAGCCCAGACCCACAGCUAAGGUCCCAAAGUACAGUUAAGUGGAAAAGGAUGUGAAAUUGCGCAGACAACCAGGAUGUUGGCUCAGAAGCAGCCACUCAUUCAAAGAGUGCGUAAUAGCUCACUGGUCGAGUGAUUUUGCGCCGAAAAUUUAACGGGGCUAAACUGUACACCGAAGCUUGGGAAUAUACAUUUGUAUGUUGGUAGGAGAGCGUUGUGUAAGGGGUGAAGUCGUAGCGAAAGCGGCGGUGGACUUUACACAAGUGAGAAUGCCGGAAUGAGUAGCGAGAAUUAUGUGAGAAUCAUAAUGGCCGAAAGACUAAGGUUUUAGAAGGAAGGUUCGUCCGCUUCUAGUUAGCCGGGAGCUAAGGCGAGGCCGAGAGGCGUAGUCGAUGCACAUACGGUUGAGAUUCCGUAGCUACCUUGCAUUUAAGCGAAGGGACACAUUUGAAGGGCAUGACCCGGGCGUUGGUUGACCCGGGCGUAAGGGACCGAAAAUAAGUAGGGAAGCAUGCUUGGAUGGUGGCGAGAAAAGCUUCGUGUAUAUAAGCAGGGUACCCGUACUGCAAACCGACACAGGUAGUCAGGAAGAGGAUUCUAAGGCCAUCGGGAGAAGCGUUGUUAAGGAACUCGGCAAAUUGACCCCGUAACUUCGGAAUAAGGGGUGCUCACGCGAGUGAGCCGCAGUGAAUAGGUCCAGGCAACUGUUUAUCAAAAACACAGCUCUCUGCUAAAUCGUAAGAUGACGUAUAGGGGGUGACACCUGCCCGGUGCUGGAAGGUUAAGAGGAGGGGUGCAAGCUCCGAAUUGAAGCCCCAGUAAACGGCGGCCGUAACUAUAACGGUCCUAAGGUAGCGAAAUUCCUUGUCGGGUAAGUUCCGACCCGCACGAAUGGUG
rnacentral:rRNA from 1 species